UGAGGAAUAUUGCACAAUGGGCGAAAGCCUGAUGCAGCAACGCCGCGUGGAGGAUGACGCAUUUCGGUGUGUAAACUCCUUUUAUGAGUCAAGAAAAUGACGGUAGCUCAUGAAUAAGCACCGGCUAACUCCGUGCCAGCAGCCGCGGUAAUACGGAGGGUGCAAGCGUUACUCGGAAUCACUGGGCGUAAAGGACGCGUAGGCUGGCUUGUAAGUCAGAUGUGAAAUCCUAUGGCUUAACCAUAGAACUGCAUUUGAAACUACGAGCCUAGAGUAUGGGAGGGGGAGAUGGAAUUAGUGGUGUAGGGGUAAAAUCCGUAGAUAUCACUAGGAAUACCGAAAGCGAAGGCGAUCUCCUGGAACAUAACUGACGCUGAGGCGUGAAAAAGAAGGGGAGCAAACGGGAUUAGAUACCCCGGUAGUCCACUCUUUANNGAGAACACUAGUCGUCGGGAUGCUUGUCAUCUCGGUGAUGCACCUAAACAG
rnacentral:rRNA from 1 species